GACAGAGGGUGCAAACGUUGUUCGGAAUUACUGGGCGUAAAGCGCGUGUUGGCUGCUCAGAAAGUCGGAUGUGAAAGCCCUGGGCUUAACCUAGGAAGUGCAUUCGAAACUUCUGAGCUUGAGUUCUGGAGAGGAAGGCGGAAUUCUCGGUGUAGAGGUGAAAUUCGUAGAUAUCGAGAGGAACACCGGUGGCGAAGGCGGCCUUCUGGACAGUGACUGACGCUGAGACGCGAAAGCGUGGGGAGCAAACAGG
rnacentral:rRNA from 1 species